GGGCCGGUAGAUCAAUGGUAGAUCGCUGCCUUCGCAAGGCAGAGGCUCCGGGUUCAAGUCCCGGCCGGUCCA
rnacentral:tRNA from 1 species